rnacentral:lncRNA from 1 species
UCAACACUCUGGUUCGGUCAAUGUCGCCCCGCAUUCAAUUCCUAGCACAGCAAAUAUAAUGCGAACCAAAUAGAACCUUAUUUUAUUUUGGGGCAAUUGCUUAUAUAUUCCUGAAAAGUUUUCGACUUUUCGAUUUACCCCUCUUAGAAGGCUAAUAUUGAAAAUACCCUUCUUACGUUCCAACAUAUUUCUAAUAUACCCCUAGAGUUAAAAUAUGGUAAUUAACUCUCUUAUCUCUAUAAAAUUACUAUUUUGCUCAUUCAAAUAUAUCCUUCCACCAUCACCGACUUUCUUCUUUGCCCUUAAAGUCAAGAGCACAAAAAGUAUUUUGACUUUUGGUCUUUUCAAAUAUACCCCUCUACCGUCACCAAUAUUUCUUAUUUGCCCUUAAAUUAAGAGCAAAAUUGGCAUUUUAAUUUUUUUUAACUGUGGUAGAUAUUUAACUCAUAUUUAGCUCAAGUUAACUUAACAGGAGAUAACUGUGGGAGCAUUUUGCAAUAACGGUGGAACAUAUAAAGGAUAUUUUAGAAAGAAAAAAAGUAGGGGUAAAUCGAAUAUUUUCAAAUGAGAGGUAUAUAGGCAAUUAUCUCUUUAUUUUAAUGGUGAAUUCCAUUUUAGUGAAAG